rnacentral:rRNA from 1 species
AUGAUGUGGAUUAAUUCGAUGCAACGCGAAAACCCUUACCCACCUUUACAUGUACGGAAGUCGCUAGAGAUAGCUUCGUGCUCGAAAGAGAACCGUAACACAGGUGCUGCAUGGCUGUCGUCAGCUCGUGUCGUGAGAUGUUGGGUUAAGUCCCGCAACGAGCGCAACCCUCGUCCUUAGUUGCCAUCAUUAAGUUGGGCACUCUAAGGAAACCGCCGGUGAUAAGCCGGAGGAAGGUGGGGAUGACGUCAAGUCCUCAUGGCCCUUAUGGGUAGGGCUUCACACGUCAUACAAUGGUCGGUACAGAGGGUUGCCAACCCGCGAGGGGGAGCCAAUCCCAGAAAGCCGAUCGUAGUCCGGAUCGUAGUCUGCAACUCGACUACGUGAAGUCGGAAUCGCUGGUAAUCGCGGAUCAGAANNCCGCGGUGAAUACGUUCCCGGGUCUUGUACACACCGCCCGUCACACCAUGGGAGUGGGUUUCACCANAAGUAGCUAGCCUAACCGUAAGGGGGNCGGUUACCACGGUGAGAUUCAUGACUGGGGUGAAGUCGUAACAAGGUANCC